ensembl:lncRNA
UACAUGAGAAGGAGAAUAGGAUGAAAUCUACUUACUGCAUUGAAAUGAGGAUUUACAAAAGCUUCAGUCUGGAUCCAGAACACCUAAGAAGAGAAGACCCCAACCCCUCAGAGGACCUCAGAGAACCCAGAAACAACAUACAGAACUACCAAAUUUUGCUAUAAGUUUGAUAGCAUCAUAUAAUAAUUGAUGUUAAUAGUGUUCAUUGUCUGUUUGAUUAGAUCUUUAAUUGAUUUUUUCCAUACAUUUCUUCCAUAAGUCCAUCAACUGACAGUCACCACUGACUACUACUAAAUAAUGUAGAAACUUAAUUUUCUGGAAAGUUGCUUUGCAAUGAUUUGUAUCAUGAAAAGCGCUAUACAAAUAAUCUUGAAUUGUACUGAACUGAAUUGAAUCCAAAAUGUAGAUGAGUUUGUUUCUUCAUCAGAACAGAUUUGGCGAAAUGUAGCAUUAUCACUUUCCGUAAGUAUGAGAGUCCAGCACAACAGAUAAAAUCAUCACAUUAAUUCACAAGUAAUCCAUACCAUUCCAGUCCAUCAAUUAAUGGCUUGGGAAGCAGAUAAAUGUGUUUGUAAGAAACAAAUCCACCAUCAGGAUGUUUUAACUUAAAACUAUUGCUUUCAACUAAAAUACAAGGAAUAGUUCAAAGGGACUAUUUUAAUUCCUUACUA